GACGAACGCUGGCGGCGUGCUUAACACAUGCAAGUCGAACGGAAAGGCCCUGCUUUUGUGGGGUGCUCGAGUGGCGAACGGGUGAGUAACACGUGAGUAACCUGCCCUUGACUUUGGGAUAACUUCAGGAAACUGGGGCUAAUACCGGAUAGGAGCUCCUGCUGCAUGGUGGGGGUUGGAAAGUUUCGGCGGUUGGGGAUGGACUCGCGGCUUAUCAGCUUGUUGGUGGGGUAGUGGCUUACCAAGGCUUUGACGGGUAGCCGGCCUGAGAGGGUGACCGGCCACAUUGGGACUGAGAUACGGCCCAGACUCCUAUGGGAGGCAGCAGUGGGGAAUAUUGCACAAUGGGCGGAAGCCUGAGGCAGCAACGCCGCGUGCGGGAUGACGGCCUUCGGGUUGUAAACCGCUUUCGCCUGUUACGAAGCUGGAGUGACGGUAAUGGGUAAAGAAGCACCGGCUAACUACGUG
rnacentral:rRNA from 1 species